rnacentral:rRNA from 1 species
UACGGGGGGUGCGAGCGUUGUCCGGAAUCACUGGGCGUAAAGGGCGCGUAGGUGGCCUGAUAAGGGGGGGGUGAAAGUCCGGGGCUCAACCCCGGAUCUGCCGUGCCGACUGUUGGGCUGGAGUACUGUAGGGGCAGGCGGAAUUCCGGGUGUAGCGGUGGAAUGCGUAGAGAUCCGGAGGAAGACCGGUGGCGAAGGCGGCCUGCUGGGCAGUUACUGACACUGAGGCGCGACAGCGUGGGGAGCAAACAGG